UGCGGCGUAGCUCAGUGGUAGAGCAUCCGACUGUUAAUCGGACGGCCGUAGGUUCGAAUCCUACCGCCGCAGCCA
rnacentral:tRNA from 1 species